AAGUCGUAACAAGGUUUCCGUAGGUGAACCUGCGGAAGGAUCAUUACCACAUCCAAAAUCUUUUAUAAACCCACACAUGUGAAGUUAUGAUGAGGAACUUUUUAUUCUUCAUUUUGAACCCCUUUUGAACUUUUUAAAAGUAAUAAGCAAGACUACAACAAAUGAGAAAAGAGAAAACAACUUUUAACGGUGGAUCUCUUGGCUCGU
rnacentral:misc_RNA from 1 species